rnacentral:rRNA from 1 species
CCUACGGGGGGCAGCAGUGGGGAAUAUUGGACAAUGGGCGAAAGCCUGAUCCAGCCAUGCCGCGUGUGUGAAGAAGGCCUUCGGGUUGUAAAGCACUUUCAGUGGGGAAGAAAGCCUUGGGGCUAAUACCCUCGAGGAAGGACAUCACCCACAGAAGAAGCACCGGCUAACUCCGUGCCAGCAGCCGCGGUAAUACGGAGGGUGCGAGCGUUAAUCGGAAUUACUGGGCGUAAAGCGCGCGUAGGCGGUCUGAUAAGCCGGUUGUGAAAGCCCCGGGCUCAACCUGGGAACGGCAUCCGGAACUGUCAGGCUAGAGUGCAGGAGAGGAAGGUAGAAUUCCCGGUGUAGCGGUGAAAUGCGUAGAGAUCGGGAGGAAUACCAGUGGCGAAGGCGGCCUUCUGGACUGACACUGACGCUGAGGUGCGAAGGCGUGGGUAGCAAACAGGAUUAGAUACCCGGGUAGUC